rnacentral:rRNA from 1 species
CCCUUAGAUGUUCUGGGCUGCACGCGCGCUACACUGAUGCGUUCAACGAGUUUAUAACCUUGCCCGAUAGGGUUGGGUAAUCUUUUGAACACGCAUCGUGAUGGGGAUCGACUAUUGUAAUUAUUAGUCUUCAACGAGGAAUUCCUAGUAGGUGUAAGUCAUCAGCUUACAUCGAUUACGUCCCUGCCCUUUGUACACACCGCCCGUCGCUCCUACCGAUUGGAUGAUCCGGUGAAUUAUUCGGACUGGCACGCGAUCUGGUUUCCAGAGAGCGUGCCGGGAAGUCUUGUGAACCUUAUCAUCUAGAGGAAGGAGAAGUCGUAACA